rnacentral:rRNA from 1 species
GAUGAACGCUGGCGGCGUGCCUAAUACAUGCAAGUCGAGCGAACCACUUCGGUGGUGAGCGGCGAACGGGUGAGUAACACGUAGGUUAUCUGCCCAUCAGACGGGGACAACGAUUGGAAACGAUCGCUAAUACCGGAUAGGACGAAAGUUUAAAGGUGCUUCGGCACCACUGAUGGAUGAGCCUGCGGCGCAUUAGCUAGUUGGUAGGGUAAAGGCCUACCAAGGCGACGAUGCGUAGCCGACCUGAGAGGGUGAACGGCCACACUGGGACUGAGACACGGCCCAGACUCCUACGGGAGGCAGCAGUAGGGAAUCUUCGGCAAUGGGCGAAAGCCUGACCGAGCAACGCCGCGUGAAUGAUGAAGGCCUUCGGGUUGUAAAAUUCUGUUAUAAGGGAAGAAUGGCUCUAGUAGGAAAUGGCUAGAGUGUGACGGUACCUUAUGAGAAAGCCCCGGCUAACUACGUGCCAGCAGCCGCAGUAAAAC